GAAAGACACGUGUCGGUUUCCCAAAAGCCCUGGCACAAAAAAAGCUCAAGAGGGGGGAAACGGCUGCUCUCUGCCAGGACGAACUGCUGGCUCUCAAAUUCAAAGAUAAGAAGGAGGUGUUCAUGCUAACAUCUAUGCAUACUGAGCACACUCGAAGAGUCGCAGUUCGUGGCAGACAAGAAAUUAGACGGGUGCCAGUCUGCAUUAGGCAGUAUAACAAGCACAUGGGGGGAGUUGACCUGUCCGACCAACUGCUGCAACCCUAUUUAAUACUGAGGAAGACCAGGGCAUGGUACAAAAAGCUUGGCAUUUACCUUAUGCAAAUGGCGACUCACAAUGCCUUUAUUCUGUACAAAAAGGCAAAUGCUGACAUUAAAUCCACAUUUCUGGAUUUCCAGUUUCAGCUUAUUUCUGGGCUGCUCACUGAGUGCCACAGUGGGGAACCAUCAGCUGGGCCUAGCAGCAGAAGGGUUGAGACAGGUCACUUCUGUUUCCGGAUACCACCAACCCCCAAAAAGAAGACACCCCAGAAAAGGUGCAGGUUGUGCUACCAGAGGGGCAUAAGGAUGGAAACCAGCUUUUAUUGCCCUGAUUGCCCCUCUCAGCCCGGCCUUUGUAUUGGCAACUGUUUUAAAGUUUUUCACACCCAGGGAGAAUAAGUUGCAC